CGGGCGAGGGUACAGCCUUGGAUGCAGCUCACAUGCCGCGGGUGUGAAGAAGGCCUUCGGGUUGUAAAGUACUUUCAGCGAGGAGGAAGGUUUUGUGGCUUAGUAUACCCGCAUGGAUUGACGUUACUCGCAGAAGAAGCACCGGCUAACUCCGUGCCAGCAGCCGCGGUAAUACGGAGGGUGCAAGCGUUAAUCGGAAUUACUGGGCGUAAAGCGCACGCAGGCGGUCUGUCAAGUCGGUGUGAAAUCCCCGGGCUCAACCUGGGAACUGCAUCCGAAACUGGCAGGCUAGAGUCUUGUAGAGGGGGGUAGAAUUCCAGGUGUAGCGGUGAAAUGCGUAGAGAUCUGGAGGAAUACCGGUGGCGAAGGCGGCCCCCUGGACAAAGACUGACGCUCUCAGGUGCGAAAGCGUGGGGAGCAAACAGGAUUAGAUACCCUGGUAGUCCACGCCGUAAACGAUGUCGACUUGGAGGUUGUGCCCUUGAGGCGUGGCUUCCGGAGCUAACGCGUUAAGUCGACCGCCUGGGGAGUACGGCCGCAAGGUUAAAACUCAAAUGAAUUGACGGGGGCCCGCACAAGCGGUGGAGCAUGUGGUUUAAUUCGAUGCAACGCGAAGAACCUUACCUACUCUUGACAUCCAGAGAACUUAUCAGAGAUGCUUUGGUGCCUUCGGGAACUCUGAGACAGGUGCUGCAUGGCUGUCGUCAGCUCGUGUUGUGAAAUGUUGGGUUAAGUCCCGCAACGAGCGCAACCCUUAUCCUUUGUUGCCAGCGAUUCGGUCGGGAACUCGAAAGAAAAUGACCGUGAUAAACUGGAAGAAGGGGGGGGAUAACGUCCAAUCCUCCUGGGCUCUUACAGUAAGGAUACCCCCCUGCUUCCAUGGUCGGUACAAGAAAAGCCACCUCCCCAGGAGCCUUAGCAAAGCGGACCUCCUAAAAAAUCUCCUAAUCCGGAUUUGGGAAUCUCCCACUCCCCUCCCUACUAGUGAAAUCCGAAAUCCCUUUUAAUCUUGUAGAAAAACGCCCCGGGGAAAACUUUCCCCGGGCCGGGCUUUUAACCCCCCCCCCCCACCCGGGGGAGUGUGCCAAAAAAAAAGUUUGGGCUUACCUUCCGAGGGCCGGGGGCUUUCCCUUUUUUUAAUAGCUCGUCAUGUAGGCGCCAUCCGGAGGCAAGAGGCCCCUGGGGGUAAGGUACCGAUCUUUCCCCCC
rnacentral:rRNA from 1 species